rnacentral:rRNA from 1 species
GAUGAACGCUAGCGGCAGGCUUAAUACAUGCAAGUCGAGGGACAGCACAGGUAGCAAUACUGGGUGGUAACCGGCAAACGGGUGCGGAACACGUACACAACCUUCCUUUAAGUGGGGGAUAGCCCAGAGAAAUUUGGAUUAAUACCCCGUAAUAUAGUUGAAUGGCAUCAUUUGAUUAUUAUAGCUACGGCGCUUAAUGAUGGGUGUGCGGCUGAUUAGAUAGUUGGCGGGGUAACGGCCCACCAAGUCUACGAUCAGUAGCUGAUGGGAGAGCAUGAUCAGCCAAACGGGAACUGAGACACGGGCCCGACUCCUACGGGAGGCAGCAGUAAGGAAUAUUGGUCAAUGGACGCAAGUCUGAACCAGCCAUGCCGCGUGAAGGAUUAAGGUCCUCUGGAUUGUAAACUUCUUUUAUUUGGGACGAAAAAGGGCCUUUCUAGGUCAACUGACGGUACCAGAUGAAUAAGCACCGGCUAACUCCGUGCCAGCCGCCGCAGUAAAAC